UUAGCUCGCCCACCGCCUAGCAACUGUUGGAAUAACGAUACGUGAUAACACAACUGUUUGACUUCUGGGGACUUCACAUCUCUUUUCGAGUCAAGCCCGACAACACUUUUCUAAACUAAAAAGAGACACAAUGGAGAGAGAUCAGGAUUGCAGCACCAGGACCUAGGUGGAAGUGAACUUUGGUUGCUACAAUAAUGGUGUUGUACGCAACAAGGACCUCUUCAAUCUCUUUUUCCUGACAGUAUCCAUUUGGAUUUCGAUACUUUUCAAGAAUAAAUAGCACUGGAAAUUUCAGUGCUUCCAACUUUGCAGAAAUGUGGGAUGGCCAAGUCUCAGAGUGCUAAGCUUCAAGGAUCAUGUCAGCACCAGCUCAGAGUUCCAGUUUUCUGAACAUUGUAUCCUGUGAGCAAGAGACUCUGUCCAACCUCUCUUCAGUCAAGUCUGGACCCAAUAAGACAGCAGUCUCAAGGACAAUUAAUGAUAGAUCAUGCCAAUCCACAUUGAAAUAGUGAGAACAUUCAAGUCUUCAAGCAGUACAUUUCCAGUUUCUCGAACUGACUCAGUCCCAUGUCUUCCGUCAAGUGUGGACUCAUUACUGUUGUUCAACCAGACAAGCGGCCCUGAUUGAUGUUUAUGUCAUCAUUGAUUAUCCUGAAUUUAUAUGGACACAUUUUAUUUCCAAGAUCAACACGUCUUUGUGAGUACACUGGUCAAGUUAUUGGAUCAGCUCAGACUGUUUUAACACAGUGCCUGUGUGCAGAAUCUGUUUCUUUAAAAUCUAAUAAUUAUGGUUUGUGCCUUGAUUUACUAUAGACAGUAUUUAUUAGUUAAUUUAGCAAUUCCAAUAACCUGACUGAUUACUGUAAAAUCUGUGGCAAACAACUGUAAUGCCUUUUGUAUUUUACCGU